UUUAAAUUGAAAUCUGUCAAAUAAGUCAAAAUAUAUAAAUAAAAAAUAAUAAUUUGUUGAAAAAUUUUAAGAUGUAUAUCUAUUUAGAAGAAUAAUUUACAGGAAAAAUAGUGUGUUGGGAAUGGAUUUUGAAUCGAUUGCACUGGGAUUGUUCUUUUAUAUAAUAUUCGUUGCAUUGUUAAUUCUCUUUAACGAGAUUUUUUGCAAAAGGGCUUGUAUGAAUAAAGCUAGGCGAGUUGCUAAUGGAGAAUAUAACGAAAGUCUAACAAAAAUACCUCCAAGAAUAAUGAAGUACACUUGCAAACCAAUAACAAAACCACCAAAAUGCAAUCCAGGAAAUAGAGAAGUCAGUUACACGAUGGUUACAUAGUUGUAGCAAUUCGUCAAUAGAUGGCGUUGUUCAUUUUGUUAGUCUUAUUUUUUAAUUUAAAUGUAACUUUAUAAA